CCCCGAAAAUCAGCCGAGAACCAAUGACCUCGACAAAAGCCUCGUGAGCCUCAGCAGGUUGUCCAUUAAACAUCACGAAAGCUCGUUUCACUUUCGUUGAAGCACGCGUCGGGUUAUUUCCAAAUAUCAGUCCAUUCGAACGACACAACGUCACGAAGUCUACCCUCCAACCCUUUUCAUUCUACCGCUCGUUUCGUUCAAUACGGUCGUUUCCUUCUCUCGUUUUCGCUAGCACGAAGGGCUUACGCGUUACGCUACGUGACACGAGAAUCACGUUACACCCAUAUAACACGACCGCUAACGAUCACGGCUAAACGAGCCAGCUACGUGACUAAAUCACGAGCCACGCAAGUCCCGCGAGUCAUGAACGCGACGACCACGAUCCUCUCUCUGUCUGCAUAUCGACGUGGUAGAUACUCUUCUACGCUGCCGGCGAUACCAAGCAAGAAGAAGAGUGUGCAGCAUGGUGAAAAGUGCUCGUUAGCAUUUCCACGUGUAUUGACAUCUGCCGUGAAUGGUAAUAUUAAACUUUACCAACAUUUCCACGUACACGCGACAUAGGAAACAUUCAACAUCGAUUGGGAAACUAGUAUGCCAUUAUAGGAUGGAAAAACGAAGAAAGGAAGCAAGGAACGAGAACUACGAAGGAAAAGAAAGAACGAAGAAUAAAAAAUUGACGAGAGUUCUACGGACUGACGCCGGCAGGUAAUUAAAAUACAGCGUCGAUAUCGCGUCGGGUAAUAUUAUCGAGCGCAUGUAAAUUGAAACACGAUAUCAGUUAGCGAUACUGUCUGCAACGCAUAUGCAUUCUCAUUACGGCUAUAUUAAGCUUGAUUCAAUUAUACGAUACACCGAUUGCGCAACUGAAUAACGAGCGACGCUUGAAAAUUAACGAUAAGGCAGUUUUUAUUUCGGACCGCGUCAAACAAUCCUCGAUAUCGUCGAAAAGAUGCGAAGAUUUUGUUUUAAAAGAUAUAUUGUAGAUUUGCAUAUCUUUUAUGUUUCCAUUCUUGAUUAAAAAUCUAGCAUAGUAUCUCUUGCAUAACGUAUAGGACUUGUGAGAAAAACAACCUUUGUUCGUGUUUAGCCUUUUACCAGGGGAUCAAAAGAAUAUUAUAACAUUCGUAAUUCGAUGUUCAAUGUAUUUCAAUUCUUUGAUGUAGAAUAUUCAUUAGACUACAUGAUUGUAUCUUAGAAAAGCGUAUGUCCGUGUAUUUAUAAUUAUAUCUUAGGAAAGCUGGAAUUAAUCUAAUCGUGAAAUCAUAGACCUUAUAAGAGAAUUUUUUAUAAAACUGAUUAAUUUCCAUUAGAUAAUACGUCAAGAUAUAGAUCAUUUUUUUAUGCUAUCGAUUACCCACAUCAGGUGACGAAUGUAACUUUUAUUAUUAGAAGUACGUAUUCGUUUAAAAUAUUCGAAU